GAUGAACGCUGGCGGCGUGCCUAAUACAUGCAAGUCGAGCGAACAGACGCGGAGCUUGCUCCUCUGACGUUAGCGGCGGACGGGUGAGUAACACGUGGAUAACCUCCCUCUAAGACUGGGAUAACUUCGGGAAACCGGAGCUAAUACCGGAUAAUAUCUUGAACCGCAUGGUUCAAUAGUGAAAGACGGUUUUGCUGUCACUUAUAGAUGGAUCCGCGCCGCAUUAGCUAGUUGGUAAGGUAACGGCUUAACAAGGCGACGAUGCGUAGCCGACCUGAGAGGGUGAUCGGCCACACUGGAAGUGAGACACGGUCCAGACUCCGACGGGAGGCAGCAGUAGGGAAGCUGCCGCAAUGGGCGAAAGCCUGACGGAGCAACGCCGCGGAUGUGAUGAAGGUCUGCGGAUCGUAAAACUCUGUGAUUAGUAAAGAACAAAUGGGUAAGUAACUAUGCACGUCGUGACGGUACCUGAACAGAAAGCCCCGGCUAACUACGUG
rnacentral:rRNA from 1 species